rnacentral:rRNA from 1 species
CCUACGGGUGGCAGCAGUAGGGAAUAUUGCUCAAUGGGGGAAACCCUGAAGCAGCAACGCCGCGUGGAGGAUGAAGGUUUUCGGAUUGUAAACUCCUUUUGUUAGAGAAGAUAAUGACGGUAUCUAACGAAUAAGCACCGGCUAACUCCGUGCCAGCAGCCGCGGUAAUACGGAGGGUGCACGCGUUACUCGGAAGCACUGGGCGUAAAGAGGGCGUAGGCGGGAUAGCAAGUCAGAUGUGAAAUCCUAUGGCUUAACCAUAGAACUGCAUUUGAAACUGUUAUUCUAGAGUAUGGGAGAGGUAGGUGGAAUUCUUGGUGUAGGGGUAAAAUCCGUAGAGAUCAAGAGGAAUACUCAUUGCGAAGGCGACCUGCUAGAACAUAACUGACGCUGAUGCGCGAAAGCGUGGGGAGCAAACAGGAUUAGAUACCCUAGUAGUC